GAGGGAAACGUUACUGAUAAUACUGGAUAAGUUAGUAUAUCGCAUGAUAUGCAAAUGAAAGCUACGGCACUAAAGGAGAGCUUUGCGUCCUAUUAGCUAGUUGGUAAGGUAAGAGCUUACCAAGGCGAUGAUAGGUAGCCGGCCUGAGAGGGUGGACGGCCACAAGGGGACUGAGAUACGGCCCUUACUCCUACGGGAGGCAGCAGAA
rnacentral:rRNA from 1 species